AGCCUCCUACUAUCAGCCAUGGUCAACCUCACGGUGUUCUUCGACAUUGCCGUGGAUGGCGAGCCCUUGGGCCGCGUCUCUUUCGAGCUGUUUGCAGACAAGGUUCCAAAGACAGAAAACUUUCAUGCUCUGAGCACUGGAGAGAAAGGAUUUGGUUAUAAGGGUUCCUGCUUUCACAGAAUUAUUCCAGGGUUUAUGUGUCAGGGUGGUGACUUCACACGCCAUAAUGGCACUGGUGGCAAGUCCAUCUACGGGGAGAAAUUUGAUGAUGAGAAUUUCAUCCUAAAGCAUACAGGUCCCGGCAUCUUGUCCAUGGCAAAUGCUGGACCCCAACACAAACGGUUCCCAGUUUUUCAUCUGCACUGUCAGGACUGAGUGGUUGGAUGGCAAGCAUGUGGUCUUUGGCAAGGUGAAAGAAGGCGUGAGUAUUGUGGAGGCCAUGGAGCGCUUUGGGUCCAGGAAUGGCAAGACCAGCAAGAAGAUCACCAGUGCUGACUGUGGACAAUUUUAAUAAGUUUGACUUGUGUUUUAUCUUAACCACCAGACCAUUCCUUCUGUAGCUCAGGAGAGCGCCCCUCCACCCUAUUUGCUGGCAGUAUCCUAAAAUCUGUGCUCUCGCUGCAGUUCCCUUUGGGUUCCAUGUUUUCCUUGUUCCCUUCCAUGCCUAGCUGGAUUGCAGAGUUAAGUUUAUGAUUAUGAAAUAAAGACUAAAUAACAAAAAA